CAACGACCAAGACAGACAAAGCUGGGGAUCAAACCAGCAACCUUCCAAUUACGAGAUGAGCUUCCCAACCCCCUGAACCACGAUCGCUCCUAAAGGAGGAAGGAGCACAGAGCUGAGCUUGUCCCUGCUACCUGGCGAAACUGCUAGAAGGUCGUCAGCAUUCGGUCUCUCGGAAGCGCUGCCGUGAAGUUCGGUGUAUUUCUUGGAUUGCCGGAGGAAAAGCGAUGAACACAGAGGUUGAGUAGUUGUUCAUCUGAUGUGCUGACGGAUGAGAGGACGAUUGUAGCGAAUGGAAAGGAGGAGCGUGGGACGAGAGAGAGCAGUGAGCACGGGGACUGCAGAGACACAGGAGCAGAAACAAGGACGUUUUGGGAAGAAGACAAAGCACAGGAGUCAGGGGAGAGCACGGGGUUUUGUAUGAACUGUUUACAUUACUGUAAAUAAACGCACUGCUCAUCAUUCAUCAGUCCUGCAUCUGGGUCCUCAUUCCCCACUUCCCAUGGUCUGCCACACAGACCGUGACAGAAUAAUCCCGCCAGAUGGACCCAGCAGACUCAACGGAGAGGCUCAGGAGGGAGGCGACGGACAGAGUAAAUAUGCUGUGUGAGCUAUGGCUGAACGCGUUCGGGGAGGAGUUUCGUCGAACCGUGGAGAGCCGAUUGCAGGAGAUGCUUUUUCGCUUCCCCUGGGUGACAGACUCUCUCUAUCCUGUUGUGGCAGAUUUUCUGCUUAACACCCUCCAUCUCUACUCUCCUACUUAGGCUGCUCACCAGCCCGGACAGCCGGUAGAUUUACAGCCUGACAUGCCGGCCCCGUCGUCUACAAGGAAACGAUGUUCGCGCCGCCGGCGCUCCUCACCAUAGCUGGAUUCCCGGACAUCUCAACAGCCGGUUGGGGUGAGUGAUAAGGACAAUUUUUCGUCUCCCACACCAUCUUUUGUGUUUUCAGUGGACGGUGACACCGCUAACGCUGCGGUGGGCCAGCUGUUAGCGCAGCUAGCAUCGCCUCAGUCAGAGGUCUCCACACCACUCACUGCUUCACUAUCCACAGCGGCUGUGCCACCAUCGUCUCGUCUGCCUGCAGCCACCACUCUGCCAUCUUCUCCACUAUCUGCUGCUAUGGCGAAACCCGGACCUGCUCAGCCUGAGCCGGAGGGGCUCGUGCCGCCCGCCAGAGCUGCAGCGCUGCCACCACUGGUAGGCCGCCUGAACUCUUUGGUUGUAGUCGCAGGUCACCUGAACUGUGACUGCUGCUGUCAAACCCUUAACAGGAUGCCUGACUGCCACCGGGUCGGCCGCCUGAACUGUUUUGCUGCCACCACGGUAGUUGGGGGGGUCAUUAAGCUGUUUUGUUGCCUCCGCUGGAGUCGCGGUUGAGCCUCUGGGACUUUUGAACUUGACGGUUUGGUCAUUUGGGGUUUGGUCCCUGCCCUCCAUCCUGGUACCCCCCACCGCUCGCCUGUGUUUUUUUGUUUUUUUUUUUUGUUUCAGGGUCGUCGGGAGUACUGUCACGGACCCGGCUCCGGGGCCUUGGGGAGCCUGUGCUGCCCACGGAGGAGCUCGUGCUGCCCGCGGAGGAGCUCAGCAAGCUGGAGGAUCUCAGUGAGCCGGAGGAGCCCGUGCUGCCCACGGAAGAGGUCAGGGAGUUGGAGGGACCAGCGCGUCCAGCACGGCCACCACGUCCAGCGCGUCUACGUCCUGCGCGGCCGCCAAGUCCAUGCCCACAUCCUGCACGGCCCCCACAUCCACGUCCAGCACGGCCACCACGUCAUGGAUCGUGUGCCAUGCUACACUGUGGCUGCACCACCGCCACUGGACCCAUGGCAGGACACCUGAGAUGCAGCACUGCCGCCACUGGACCCAUGGCAGGCCACCGGAACUAUUUCGCCGCUGCUGCUGGACCCAUGGCCACCCGCCGGAGCUGCGGGGUUAGUGUGUGUGUGUGUGUGUGUGUGUGUGUGUGUGUGCAGCUGAUUUCUGUUGGCCAAGUUACAGGCACCUUCAGGCCUGGUGGGUGUGGCCCUGCUGGAGGACUGGCCACGCCUGAAGUCCUUGCCACACACCUGCUGCUGAUCAGGACUCGUCGGGGGAGCUAUUUAGGAGAGUGAAGGAGCUCCCACCGAUGCGGGAUUAUUGCGAGGAGCGUGGGACGAGAGAGAGCAGUGAGCACGGGGACUGCAGAGACACAGGAGCAGAAACAAGGACAUUUUGGGAAGAAGACAAAGCACAGGAGUCAGGGGAGAGCACGGGGUUUUGUAUGAACUGUUUACAUUACUGUAA